rnacentral:lncRNA from 1 species
GAAAGUCCCGUCCCUCCUCUAAACUCUCCGUCAGCAGAGGAUCCAGCGAACAGUGUGGACACACAAAGCCGCUCAUGUUCUCCACGAUGCCCAGGAUUUUGAGGUUUGUCUUCUUGCAGAAAGUGAUUUCGCGCCUCACGUCUCCUGUAGACACAGCCUGACAUUGGGAAAAGUGUUUAUGCAUGUUAUUCAGCAAACCAGAGAGAUUUACAGUGUUCCAGAUCAGUGUUAUGACCAGUGCUGACAACAGGUUUUCCAGCACAGCCAGAUGCUCAUCUGACGUCCCGGGCGGUGUGUCCACUAGCAAGAUGUCCAGCUCCCCCCAGGCCACAUCACUGACAAACUGGCCAAUCAGAGCUGAGGAUGACAUGAGACCUGAUGACAGCCUCAUCUGAAUCCUCCAGCAGGAAGGCGAUGGACAUGAGGGCGAGCUGCUGCUGCUGCUGUGGGUCUGCGUAUACGGGCACCCAGCCUGAGUCACACUGAUGAACCUCUGGCUUACCCACGCUCAGCAUACGCGGAAUACUGGGACCACAGAGAUC